rnacentral:rRNA from 1 species
GACGAACGCUGGCGGCGUGCUUAACACGUGCAAGUCGAACGGAAAGGCUCCAGCUUGCUGGAGUACUCGAGUGGCGAACGGGUGAGUAACACGUGGGUAAUCUGCCCUGCACUCUGGGAUAAGCCUGGGAAACUGGGUCUAAUACUGGAUAUGACCUUUCUCCUUAUGGGGUUUGGUGGAAAGUUUUUCGGUGUAGGAUGAGCCCGCGGCCUAUCAGCUUGUUGGUGGGGUGAUGGCCUACCAAGGCGACGACGGGUAGCCGGCCUGAGAGGGUGAUCGGCCACAUUGGGACUGAGAUACGGCCCAGACUCCUACGGGAGGCAGCAGUAGGGAAUAUUGCACAAUGGGCGGAAGCCUGAUGCAGCGACGCCGCGUGAGGGAUGACGGCCUUCGGGUUGUAAACCUCUUUCAGCAGGGACGAAGCGUAAGUGACGGUACCUGCAGAAGAAGCACCGGCUAACUAUGUG